GAGGAUGUAGCUUAAUUAGUAGAGUGCAUGCUUACCAAGCACGAGGUCCUGGGUUCAGUCCCCAGCACCUCCA
rnacentral:tRNA from 1 species